CAACGUUAGCAACGUUCGUACUAUCUGAUAAUCUUGUGUAACUUUACGUCUUUUCGUCAUUAUUCGUGUCUCGUAUGGUUUAUGGUAACUUGGUAAGGCUCUAGUCCUAGUAUUGGUGCCUUUAAAUUUCAUAUCGUCAAUCUAAGCGAAAAGAUAAGAAGACGUCCAGACAACUGAGUGAGUUUUUCGUUAAUUUCGUUCGCAUUUACUUCAGUCUUCAGUUCGUUUCUAACUUCAUUCGACAAUCGACAUUCGACUUGUCAUUGUUUGCGAGGAAUCGGUCGCGUUGAGGAUUGCACGUUGUCAUCUCAAUCCGUUUCCGGAUACUUUUUCGUGAAAAUUUUCGUUUUUUUUCAAUUAUUAUAGUCGCGAUUUGGUCUAAUUAUUUUCGCGGAUCGUUAACGUGCAUUUUUUGGUGAUUUUUCGAACAAUUCGAUAUAGGAAUUUCGUGUAACCAGCGUGCAGUACCAUAUGCUGCAGUAGACAAAAGAUGGUUUGGUGCCGGUGAUGAGUUUACCACAUGGUCAUUAUUCAUAUUCUCCUGGGACAUCCGGUAAAUCAGUCGUGGUUGCAGAUUGUCACAUAGAAUUUCGUAUGUUUUUCGGAACUCAGAAUCAGAAAAAUGAAAGCAUCAAUUCUACAACGUGAGGCUCCAUUGGUAUUCAGAGAACAUCUAGCAAAGUGAUCUUGAUCUCUAAUUGUCAGCUCUCUUCGACGAAAACACGACCAAAAUAAGACAAAGAAAUAACGAAAAUUCGCCAACCCGGAAUUAACGAGCUUCGCGACAUAUCCUGAGAGGUUAGCAAUCGCUCGAGAGCAUCCCAUCCAACGCAUCUCCAGAUAUGAGAAAAAGUUGUCAAAGUGUCGAUUUCACCUCCACCUCGCUUUUGCUCGCCAUCGUUCAUAAAUUAGAAAAUUUUUCCUUGAACGAAACCUACCUGGUUGCGAUAUCGCACUCGCACCUGGACACCUGCUAAAAAUGCUAACCAAAAAUCCACCUUCGUACGCCGAUACAGGCAUUGUUAUAAAUGCCUAUUUUGCUUUUUCACACCGUUUACAUGGCAAUCUUGUUUCAUUCUAUUUUUGUGAUUUUUCGAAGAACGGCGUGCCGCAGCGGGAUUCACAUACUCUUAUUGUACCUAUUCAUCGAGCUAUUCUCUCUGUAUUUUAUUUCGCUUCUUUUACUCGCGAUCCGUGGAGAGCGCAUUCCAAACAAUAUGCGUUAUGCUCGCAUGAAUAGCUCGUCAUUCUGCAACUCUCCGGUGAUUCUACUCUUUUUAUAAUACCUAUUUUUUUUUUUUUCGAAACAAUCCUUUUUAUUUUUCCUUAUGUAUAGAUAAUAAUAUGUUUCACUUCUUGUGUCCAGUGACAUAUUAGAUGCGGUUUUUGAAAUAAAGCAGCCACUUUUGGCUAAAGAUGCGGCUAAGACGAGGAUGUUUUUUUUUUCUAUGCAAUGUGGGUAUAUACGAAUGUUUCUCGAUUACAAAUUACUUUACUUAUAUGGCCGGAUAUUCUUAAUAC